rnacentral:tRNA from 1 species
GGAACUAUAGCUCAGUUGGUUAGAGUACUACCUUGACAUGGUAGGGGUCACAAGUUCGAGUCUUGUUAGUUCCACCA